CCAGCCCCAACCCCAUCCCAUCCCUGGUCUAACCCCCCCUUGCCUGGCUCUCUGAGGGCUGUCUGUUUGUUAGUACGGGACGGGCGGCCUCACACACUGCCUCCAUCUCCAGGACCCGGUCCAGAGAAACCUCUGGAGAGAAACCUCUUGAAGAGAAACCUCUGGAGAGAAAACUCUGGAGGGAAACCUCUGGAGAGAAACCUCUGGAGAGAAACCUCUGAAGAGAAACCUCUGGAGAGAAACCUCUGGAGAGAAACCUCUGAAGAGAAACCUCUGGAGGGAAACCUCUGAAGAGAAACCUCUGAAGAGAAACCUCUGGAGAGAAACCUCUGGAGAGAAACCUCUGGAGAGAAACCUCUGGAGAGAAACCUCUGGAGAGAAACCUCUGGAGGGAAACCUCUGAAGAGAAACCUCUGGAGGGAAACCUCUGAAGAGAAACCUCUGGAGAGAAACCUCUGGAGAGAAACCUCUGGAGGGAAACCUCUGGAGGGAAACCUCUGAAGAGAAACCUCUGGAGAGAAACCUCUGGAGAGAAACCUCUGGAGAGAAACCUCUGAAGACAAACCUCUGAAGAGAAACCUCUGGAGAGAAACCUCUGGAGAGAAACCUCUGGAGAGAAACCUCUGGAGAGAAACCUCUGGAGGGAAACCUCUGAAGAGAAACCUCUGAAGACAAACCUCUGGAGAGAAACCUCGGAGGCCUGCAGGGCUGCUCUUUCUACAGUAGCUAUAGUAGUAUUUUUAUAGACCUUUUUAACUAAUAUGUGUUCUCUGGGUUUGUCUUCGAUCUUAUUUGUCUUCUAUUUUUGUCUCAUGUUUUUUAUCUAUUUUUUUUACAUUUGUACUUUAGUUGAAAGGGAGUUUUGCAAUUCAUGCAGCAUUAACCCGUGUGGCGUUUUUGUGAUGUCAUACCUCUGUUAGACCGACACCCUCACCGGGUCACUGUGGUGACACAGCAAUGGGACAUGAGCCUCAGAACGCCACCUCUGUGACCCCCCUAACGUCACCUCUGUGACCCUCCCUAACGUCACCUCUGUGACCUCCCUAACGUCACCUCUGUGACUAUGUCUGCGUCCCAAAUGGAACAUUUUCCUCUAUAAAGGCCACAACUUUUGACCAGAGCCUUAUGGGUAAAUGCCAUUUGGGACGAUUCUCUUGUAUGUGUGCUUGUGACUGAUGGAUUGACUAGCAGAGACUGAGUCUGAGUACCACUGUCAGAUAAGUAUGUGUCAGAUAGUUACUGUGUUGAAUAGUGUAAUGUUCUGGUUACAUGUGUAACAUACAGGGUAUGUAGUGUCAGGUACUUGAUCAGAUGCUUAGCUAAGAAAGUGUGUGGGAUGCUACUGCCUCCACGUUGUUGUUGUUGUUGUUGAUGUUGUUGUUUUUAACCAAGUCGAACUGUUGCCAUGAUAUGCUAUUACUUGGUUACGCACCGGAAUCUGGCGUUUCUAUUGAAUUAUGCUCUUUUUCUAGAAAGGACCAUGACUGUUACCCUAGCAACCCAUCGAUGCUAUUUAGAGGGCGUUACAUGUAAUGAAAGAUUGAACGGUGUUGAGAAUAUGUUCAAAUUGAAGCAAUACAUCCUAGUAUUGUUGUUCUAUCAGCCAUAUUACCCUGCACUGUGACACCAGCUAGCCGAGGCAGCUCUGGAGGCUGUCCCCUGACCCCUGUCUCCUCCACUCUCCUGGAGGCUGACCCCUGACCCCUGUCUCCACUCUUCUGGAGGCUUACCCCUGUCUCCUGCACUCUCUUGGAGGCUGACCCCUGUCUCCUCCACUCUCCUGGAGGCUUACCCCUGUCUCCUCCACUCUCCUGGAGGCUGACCCCUGUCUCCUCCACUCUCCUGGAGGCUGACCCCUGUCUCCUCCACUCUCCUGGAGGCUGACCCCUGUCUCCUCCACUCUCCUGGAGGCUGACCCCUGAACCCUGUCUCCUCCACUCUUCUGAAGGCUUACCCCUGUCUCCUGCACUCUCCUGGAGGCUGACCCCUGACCUCUCCACUCUCCUGGAGGCUGACCCCUGUUUCCUCCAAUCUCCUUUAGGCUGACCCCUGUCUCCUCCACUCUCCUGGAGGCUGACCCCUGACCCCUCCACUCUCCUGGAUGGCUAACUCCUGACCCCCGUCUCCUCCACUCUCCUGGAGGCUGACUCCUGACCCCUGUCUCCUCCACUCUCCUGGAGGCUGACUCCUGACCCCUGUCUCCUCCACUCUCCUGGAGGCUGACUCCUGACCCCUGUCUCCUCCACUCUCCUGGAGGCUGAGCCCUGUCUCCUCCAAUCUCCUGGAGGCUGACCCCUGUCUCCUCCACUCUCCUGGAGGCUGACCCCUGUCUCCUCCAAUCUCCUGGAGGCUGACCCCUGUCUCCUCCACUCUCCUGGAGGCUGACCCCUCUCUCCUCCACUCUCCUGGAGGCUGACCCCUGACCCCUCCACUCUCCAGGACCAAGUAAAGCUUUAAGAGACAUCUCCUUUAGUGUAGUUCUAGUGUUGCUGCAGCCAGGCUUCCAGAAUUAGCGGCACAUUCCAAAUGACCUGAACAUUCCAGAUAUGAGCCUGGCGUUGUCCUCUGUCUGCCUCAAUAUCCCAGGUGGGGUUGUCAUACUGUAGGCGACAUAUAGAGAGAGAUAUGAGGUGAGAGAGUUGAUUGAUUCCAUGCUUUUGUAGUCUGAUUGUCAGUCUGUGUUUGACAGUUAAAGAACGAUUGGCUGAGUUUCUAUCCCUUUAUAAUGAAAAGGUCUUACUACCAUCUCUAACGAGGCUCAGCAGUUUUAGCCGAAUGCUUUCCAAAACAUCACAACGUGCCUGAACUUCUCUGUCUUUUUUUUUAUUACUAAAUGGAAUGUCAAUUGUUUCAAAUACCUUUUAAUCAUCAUGAACUUUUCCAUUGAGCUAACAAGCCUUUAUAAGUCAUUGUUUCCCCCAGUCUCAGUGAGUGUAGCGCUGAUGGACACUGUGUCUGCUGUUGGUGUGUUUUCAUGCCAUUUAGCAGAGGCUUUUAUUCAAACCACGAAGUGAUGUAUGCAUUCUUUAUGUGUGGAUGGUCACGGGAGUCAAACCCACUAUCCUGUUGUUGCAAGUGUCAUGCUCUACCAACUGACCUACAGAGGACCAGUGUAUUGUUAGGGAGUUUAGUCUGUAAGGGCAAAACCAGCUGGCUGACUGACCAGGGAGGAAUAAGAUGACCUUCUGUCUAACCUCUGACCUCUCCAACCCAGCUCUCCCACAGACAGGCUGACGUGUGUGUGUGUGUGUGUGUGUGUGUGUGUGUGUGUGUGUGUGUGUGUGUGUGUGUGUGUGUGUGUGUGUGUGUGUGUGUGUGUGUGUGUGUGUGUGUGUGUUCUCCAUCAACACAUCUUCCAACAGCCCUAACCAGUAGGAAAGCUCAAUAUUCACUUUAGUUUUGACCACAACUCUGUCACGCUUGCUCAAGUCACCCCUUAGUUAGCACUGAUCUAGGAUCAGCUUACACUCCCCAUAUCCAAACCUAAACCAUUAGUGGAGGGGGACUCUAAACAGACCGUAGCUCAGUGUCUGGGAGAAACUCCACUUUUCCCUGAACAUGUUGAUACUUUAGCAGGACUAGUAGUAACUAUGACUACAUCCUUUAGUAGCAGUGAGCCAAGCAGCUCUACAGCCAGGUGAGUUAGAGAGACAUCAUGUAGCUGUCUAUGCACUUUGACCUCUGGGAUAUCCAGAGGGUAGAAUAGCCAUAUUGAGGUCUCAGUGAUGCCCGGUUCAAUACACCAGCGAGACUCUGUGUGACUGACUGUUUCUCUGUAGAGAGACUGACUGCAUGGCAGUGACUGUUUCUCUGUAGAGACUGACUGCAUGGCAGCGACUGUUUCUCUGUAGAGAGACUGACUGCAUGGCAGUGACUGUUUCUCUGUAGAGACUGACUGCAUGGCAGUGACUGUUUCUCUGUAGAGACUGACUGCAUGGCAGUGACUGUUUCUCUGUAGAGACUGACUGCAUGGCAGUGACUGUUUCUCUGUAGAGACUGACUGCAUGGCAGUGACUGUUUCUCUGUAGAGACUGACUGCAUGGCAGUGACUGUUUCUCUGUAGAGACUGACUGCAUGGCAGUGACUGUUUCUCUGUAGAGAGUGACUGCAUGGCAGUGACUGUUUCUCUGUAGAGACUGACUGCAUGGCAGUGACUGUUUCCCUGUAGAGACUGACUGCAUGGCAGUGACUGUGCCUAAUGGUGGGGCUCCACAGGGUGCUCCUUAAAAAGCUUUAAACAUGUACCUUUCAGAUGUCUGUUACUACAACAUUGUUCAGCUCCAGUUUGGCUCACUGUGAAAGGUAGCUAACUAAAUGAAUAAGGUCAACUUGAAACAUGCAUUCGCUUUUUCUCCAGUGUGUUGCACAAAGGUUUUGUAGAAAGGCUCGGACAGUGGGUUUGAGAGGUGUGAUAAUAACUGAUCUUAUGAAAGGUUGAACAUGUAUUAAGGCCUUCCUGUAUUACAAAAAAGUGAAACACCUACAAAGCGCCUUAUUUCAUCAACUUUGUAUUUUCUUUUGAAUCUCUAAACGUUGUGGCUUAUUACUUUCACCAACUACUUGAGUAUUUAACUGUUCUGAAAUAAAACAUGUUGCAUCAUGGGGAAUAUAUGGCAUUGACCUCAACAUAUUCAACUGGAAUUGUUGUUUGAUGUUUUGUUGGAAUGACAGCUAAUAGUCUGGUGUUUCUAACAGUGGACAGACACAGGUCAAGCAUAAGGAAGACAGGUUAGUCUGACUGUACAGGCAGACAUAAGAGACAGGUUAGUCUGACUGUACAGGCAGACAUAAGAGACAGGUUAGUCUAACUGUACAGGCAGACAUAAGAGACAGGUUAGUCUAACUGUACAGGCAGACAUAAGAGACAGGUUAGUCUGACUGUACAGGCAGACAUAAGAGACAGGUUAGUCUAACUGUACAGGCAGACAUAAGCGACAGGUUAGUCUAACUGUACAGGCAGACAUAAGCGACAGGUUAGUCUAACUGUACAGGCAGACAUAAGCGACAGGUUAGUCUAACUGUACAGGCAGACAUAAGAGACAGGUUAGUCUAACUGUACAGGCAGACAUAAGAGACAGGUUAGUCUAACUGUACAGGCAGACAUAAGAGACAGGUUAGUCUAACUGUACAGGCAGACAUAAGAGACAGGUUAGUCUAACUGUACAGGCAGACAUAAGAGACAGGUUAGUCUAACUGUACAGGCAGACAUAAGAGACAGGUUAGUCUAACUGUACAGGCAGACAUAAGAGACAGGUUAGUCUAACUGUACAGGCAGACAUAAGAGACAGGUUAGUCUAACUGUACAGGCAGACAUAAGAGACAGGUUAGUCUGACUGUACAGGCAGACAUAAGAGACAGGUUAGUCUGACUGUACAGGCAGACAUAAGAGACAGGUUAGUCUAACUGUACAGGCAGACAUAAGAGACAGGUUAGUCUAACUGUACAGGCAGACAUAAGAGACAUGUUAGUCUAACUGUACAGGCAGACAUAAGAGACAGGUUUGUGAGUUCAGGAUGAGUGUCUGUGGGUUUCUGGGAGAGAGGUGGAGGACAAUGCCUGCACAUUAAUACAAGUAUAAAUGUAUCAUUUUAAAUAUAAAACUAUAAAUAUUGUAUAGAAUGUCAUUCAUUUUUAUAAUCUUGACUGUACAUGUAAUGCAACCACCUUUCUUUUUGAAAGGAGUCUUUGAUGUUUUGUACAUGUAUGUAAAUGAUGUUUGCUUAGCAGUUGUUUGCAGCCUUCUCAAUGUAUGUUCGUCAAGGUUCAUUUCCGCGCUUCGAUACGUGUCCACGGUUUAUUAUACGUCAUGGAUUGAUGAAUUCAUAAUUGCCUGCAUAACUUUGUACAUGUUUGUGUCUCUCAUCACAGCAUAUUGUAUGGUCUGCGUUUUGUUUAGCAGUUGUACAGAUGUUACAUAUCACUGCGGCUACAUUACAGUAGGAGAAUAAAGCACUUGUUCUGUAACAUUA